UUAUCAUAAAGAAGACUAUUUUUUUAAGAACGGACAAGCUCACCUGAUGUUGAUACGGCCGUCCACUGACCUGACUUCGUGCCAGCCAGCCUUUUAGGAAUUGGUACUCCAAACCGAAUUUGGUUUGUAAAUAUUUAGCAGAGAGAUGAUUGAAUAGGCAAAUUGAUUGCUGCGAGGCCAUUGUUGGCGAACGUUAUCGGGCUCAAAGUUGAUUAAACGAACGGCAAGCCCGCAGCUCAAUAUAGUGAACAAAUUUAUGGUUUGCGUAUUCAUGUAACUUGAUAUUUAUUUAAUAAUUCUUCAUAAUUUCUUUCCUCUAACUUUGAUUUUGUUCCCUUUUGAGAGUGACUCUUCGGCCUUUCAAGUGUACAUCGAAGAAGUUGUCGCCUGAUAGUACCGGUGACCUCAGAACUGGUGCUUUCUACGCUCAACGAAUAAGUAUGCAAUGCCACAGAAAUUGACAGACGUUUGGCCACAAUCCCAUCUGAUGUUAAGUGAGAUGUGGCCUAUUGGCACGCUUGUUCAGAAAAACUCUAUUUUUUGGUUAAAAGAACCCAUGUUAUGCUGUCUAAAGAAGAUGGUGGAAGGAAGGUGGCAACGAGUUCAUACAGUAAACAACGAACCAAAUCGUGCAGCACCUGGAGAUGUUGAGGGUUAAAACUUCAGCGUGUCUCUAGAUGAGCGUUGUUUGAAACAGGAAUAACAUAAUCAGACUGUGUAGUUCCAUGGAACUCUGGACUGAAAGGACGGCACUGGUCAAGAGUUGAUAUUCAACGAGAAAUUAACACAAUGACAAAUUAUGUUAUAUUUAUUGUUUAAUAAUACGUUACGAUACUUUGAAACGUGAACGUUACAAAGGCUAGUGCAAAAAUAUCGUAUUUAGUUGUUAUUUAAGUAGAUUUUUAUGUAUGUUUUAGUCAAUUAAAACGAAUAUCAACAGUUUCGAAUAUUAAUGUUAUAAAAUAAAUUCAUGUUAAUAAGUAUUAUUUAUUAUACUCUCAGAUAACUUA